UCUCGUCUCGACUCGACUCGACUCGACUCAUUACAACCCAUACGCCCGAUUAACUAGAUCUACGGCACUAAUGUCGAUUUCGACAACUUUCGUCUCCAUAAUUCCCCUGAAUGUCAAGGAGAACAAGGCCUAUCCAUGAUCGAUGUUACCCCCUUUGGAUAUCUCAAGGUUCUAGGGUGUCCUCCCCAAUGAUCAAUCCUUGUUUGGCUUUUUUCGGCUUGCCUUGUCUGGAGCAUUCUAUGUCAGAAGCGUAACAUCAGGUUGGGUAUUAUCCAUCAAGGAUAAGGUUUUCCAAAUGUGUGGAUUUCAAUUUUCAAAUCAGGUAACUAAACUUGAAGUUGUUCGCCUAUCAGUUGAUUUGAUGGUUUUUUCUGUCUAUAUUUUGACUAUCAUAAAGCAAUACGAAUCAUAUGACCACCUCAGAGUAUUAUCGCUGUAGCAAAAAAAAAUCUUGACGUAGUGCGUUGCAUGUAGUCAGUAAUAUAGCUCCAAGGAAUAUAACGAGAAAGGAUCAAUGUUUUGUAGUUAAAUAAACUGGAAAUUGCAUUUGCGGCUUUUACGGUUAAGUACAUAAUUGAUUGCAUCCAUCAUUCAGUUCUUAGCUUGCGGGUUUUUUGCUCUAGUUACUUGUUUACUUGAUGGAUACUCGGGUUUUUACCUUGUGGCAUUUACCUCAAGUUCCUAAGUUAGUUGAUGUGCUCUUGAGAUUGUACCUAUCAGAUUUUACAAACGUUGGUUUUGGAUGAACAUUUUCAAAUUGAAAUUGCUUUCGGCACCUUGCGGCUUUUAAUGUUGAGCACAUAAUUGACUUCAUGCGUCCUUGAGUUCUUAGCUUGCGGGUUUAUGCUCGAGUUAUUUGUUUACUUAAUGGAUACUCGGGUAUUUACCAUGCGGCAUUUAUAUCAAGUUCCUAAGUUAGUUUAUGUGCUCUUGAGUUUAUACUUGUCGGCUUUUACAAACAUUGGUUUUUGCUGAAAAUUUUCAAAUCGAAAUUGCUUUCGGCACCUUGCGGCUUUUACUGUUAAGUAUCAUAUGUCCUUGAGUUCUUAGCUUGCGGGUUUUUGCUCGAUUUACUUGUUUAUUUGAUGGAUACUUGGGUUUCUACCUUGUGGCAUUUACCUCAAGUUCCUAAGUUAGUUGAUGUGCCCUUGAGAUUCUACCUAUCGGCUUUUACAAACAUUGGUUUCUCUCUCUCUCUCCCUCCAAUUUUCCAGUGCCUGUACAAUAGCUUGACCCAUCCAACUACCAUCUCAUAUCCCAUUAAUGACCAUCAAAGCUUCAGAACUUACUCUCUGAAAGGGUGGUCGUCGAAUCCACUUUGGUGUUCAUGUGCAAUUACCAAUGUACAUGAAACUGCAGAUAUAGGAGGAAGUUGUCUUCCAUGUUUUUUACGCCUAGAAUUUGUGUCCUGCUGAAAGUAGUUGCAGGUCUUACACAAAUAGACAACUGUCAACUCCCUUUGUCAUCCGCGGACAGAUUCAAUUAUUCAUCAGUAAUCUAGAUGUAUUUGCAAUCA